CCACUGACAUCCUGAAGUAAUCUUUGAAACGCUCGGAUAAUCCCGCAGCUCCUUGAUGAGUGUUGUCUGUACACAUGUCUGUGCUCGUCUUUUGAUGGAGUUCAGACUGGAGCAGAUGUCAUAAAUCCAUCUUGCUUUUCAACUUCUUCCCUCUAAACAACAGACUCCGUUCUGUUACGUAUCACCCACUUUUCACCAUCACUUGUCUAGUUGAAGUUCACUUGGAAAUCUGUCAGAUUAGAGCAGUCAAAAACUUUCAUGUCUUUCUUUGAACAUUGUUACUACUGCAGUAGUAUCUUAAUAAUCUCAUAAUAGUAGUCUGUAACUACUUGUCCAUCAAGCAGUGUAAGUAAGAGAUCGUUUGGUAUACAGUCUUUGUUUUUAUACCUUUAAGUCUGAUUUGAUUCUACUUCAAAUCAGUUUAUUUGUAUAGCACUUUUUACAUUACACACUGUUCCAAAAGCAGCUUUACAGAAAAUAGAAAAAUAAAGCAGAUGAAAAGAAGAGGAAAGGACAGUAUAAAGUCAUUCAUAAAACUUACAAGGCAUUUCAAAAGCAUUGCACCCAAAACUGGCUAGGUUUUAAAAGCAGUCUUGCUCUGUGAAACACACAUUAUUCACUCCAGCCUUGAUGUCUGUGAUACAUAAUACACAUUUCAUAUGACCAGAGUUCUGCCCUCUGGUGAAUGCCUAGCUCAACAAUAAGCUGUAAAUUUUAGUCCAUUAAAGUCACUGGGAAUGUGCCAAGUCAUCAUGUGCAUUCCUGCCACCAGCUGCUUAAUCAGGCCCAACGAGAUGCCAGAGAGGGGGUGUGUGUGUGUGUGUGUGUGUGUGUGUGUGUGUGUGUGUGUGUGUGUGUGGACAAGAAAUUGGCAUCAACCAGAUGGGAAAACAGAAGUCAUGUUGGUGUCUUGACGUUCAAAUCCCAUGGAACGCCAAUGAAAAUAAUAUUUCCAUCCAGUACAGAUGCAAGAGGCAAUGUAAUCUGGUUAGAAAUCAGAUCUAAUGAGACAUGUGACUCAUGUUGAGCUGAGAAGUACCUGUUUUUUGUUUCUAUUGGACUUUUUCAAGUCUGUCUCUGUUCCCAAGGUGGCUUUCUGUUCGUGCUCUCCAAAACGGGGUGAAACGCGUAUAAACAAAGUAUAUUGUGGGCUUCGCCUAAAUGGUAAAAUUGCCUACACACAAAAAUGUCAAAAUGCCAUUUUGGUAAGUAUCCUUGAAAACACACAGCUGAGAAAGAAAACACAUGCAUCAGUAUAUUGGAUCCAUGAAGCUCUUAAAGUGACAGCAGCCUAAUAAACCUGCUGCAGUCAUUAAUGUUAAUCAAACAACAAAAGACAGAUAAAAUCACUCACUGCUCUUAAAUGAAUAUUUUUUGUAGUUUUAAUAAGUUUUAGUCUAUAUUUAACAUAUUCAGCAGUGUUAUUUUACUUUGAUUUAUGUUGUCUAUUACUUAUCUGAAUACCACUGUUAGUACUGUUAGUACUCCGAGUGUGUCGGAUUUAUUAAUAUAACUCCAUCAGAAAGAAGAAAGUCAAAUACACCUAGGAUGGCUUAAAGGUGAGUAAUUAUUUGGGGUAAUUUUCAUUUCAGAAUGAACUAAUCCUUUAAAUGAUUGCAUAAUAAUUUCAUGUUUAAUGGGUCAUUUCAGUUUUUUCUAGUGAUAAAGUAAAGUUUCUAUGAAGGGCCUGGCAUCUAUAUAGAAGAGUGUAACCCUUUUAGAUCAGCUAAACCAUCCUUAACCAGCUCAGACCACUUUUUUUCAGUAGUAUUGUACCAGUCGCUCUGUGAGCAUUGUAAGUUAUUCGUCUCUGGCCAAAAGUCGCUGCGGUGUAAAUGAAUAUGCGAGCGCAGAGACCCGUCGGAAGCUCAGCUAUGCAGCCACCUGCCCUCUUAAUCAUGUCAGGGCAUGUUGCACGUCGACUCACUCUGAGCGCUGCUGAUCUUGGAUCAGUUUCCCAUUCUUCAGAUUGUGCUGUUUAUUAAUACUUGACUAUUUAUGGAAUUGGAAAAUACCAAUUGAGCUUUAGAGCGGUAUGACUAAACUCCUCUACAGGAUAACAAAACAUGCCAUUUCUCACUUAUUCUCAAUUUUUGUUCUCAUCCGAUAGUGUCAGUGCAGUUAAAUUUGUCUUUUAUUGUAUUACCAUAUGACUUUUUAAUCAAAUCAGAAGUUAUUGUUUUGUUGCAUAACACAUGAUUAGUAAGGCAGCCAAUAGAUUUAAUAAUGGAUCUGUUCAUUAUGAAAGACUUCUGUAUCCCCAUGACGAUUCUGUCAUCAAAAAAGCUCUUUUGCUCAUACUGUAGGUGGUCUAGAAAUGGCAAAUGGGUCUGUGUGAAAGAGAGAGCCAAUGCUAGGUGGUGGGAAAAAAAACUAAUGUUUGUUCUUUGUUCCAGUGGCACCUGUGUGCACUACUGUGAAGUCCAGCUGCAAUUUUCUAAAACCCAGCUGAGAGCGGACAGACGAGAGAGCUAGAAACAUGAGUGGGUGGACUUCAUAUUUCCAUAUUCACUGCACUCACAUAAUGGGAGGUCAAAGAGAGACAUUAAGAGAGAGACAGAGAGAGGAAAAAAGGACAACUCUGAAUUCACAGGAGGAAUAAAAUAUACAGUCUGAAGCAGACAAUUAAAAAUAAAUGGUUUAAAAUGUAAAAAUACUGUGCAAAACGUUCAGUUUUGUUUCCAACUGUGUAAUAGGAGAAUAUUAUACAGUAUAUAUAGAAUAUUAUAUAUAAAUGUAGGCUACAUAUAACAGUGCUUUCUGGAUCUCGAAUCUGAUUCACUGAUAGCCAUGCGAUUUUCUAGCAAUAACAGCACUCCUACCUUUUCACCGUUUGUAUCACUCCACUUGAAGCGACUGUCAUGGCGGCUGAUCAAAUCCACCUUAUUUUUUUUCAAAUACUACAUUUAUUGUACCACGAACAAGAGAUUUGGAGGUUUUUUUAGGUGAGAAUGUAGUUGGGACUCAUAUUUAAUCAUAGCACCUUUUUUACUAUUUGUUUAGACGUUUUCAGAGAUGUGAGCUCCAGGCCGUCAGCAUCCGUUCAGUGCUCGAGUAACCGCCGAGAACAGCUUCAUCUUGGCCAGUGCUUCGGGGAUUCACGGCUGUCUCUUAUAGUGGUUAAACAUGAGAUGUAAUUCAUUUUGGGUAUAAAACGGGCAAUCUUUGGUCUUAUUAAUCUAAUACUUGUUCCUGAGCAAAUCGAAUUGGGCUAUGUAUAAUAAUUUAAUUUUAAGCAUUAUUUAA